rnacentral:rRNA from 1 species
CCUACGGGAAGCAGCAGUAGGGAAUCUUUCACAAUGGGCGAAAGCCUGAUGGAGCAACGCCGCGUGCAGGAUGAAGGCCUUCGGGUUGUAAACUGCUUUUAUAAGCGAGAAAUAUGAUGGUAACUUAUGAAUAAGGAUCGGCUAACUACGUGCCAGCAGCCGCGGUCAUACGUAGGAUCCGAGCAUUAUCCGGAGUGACUGGGUGUAAAGAGUUGCGUAGGUGGCAUAAUAAGUAGCUAGUGAAAUCUGGUGGCUCAACCAUUCAGACUAUUAGCUAAACUGUUAAGCUCGAGACCGUUAGGGGUAACUGGAAUUUCUAGUGUAGGAGUGAAAUCCGUAGAUAUUAGAAGGAACACCAAUAGCGUAGGCAGGUUGCUGGGACGGUUCUGACACUAAGGCACGAAAGCGUAGGGAGCAAACGGGAUUAGAUACCCCUGUAGUC